UACGUAGGGUGCAAGCGUUGUCCGGAAUUAUUGGGCGUAAAGGGCUCGUAGGCGGUUCGUCACGUCGGGAGUGAAAACUCGGGCUUAACCCCGAGCCUGCUUCCGAUACGGGCAGACUAGAGGUAGGCAGGGGAGAGCGGAACUCCUGGUGUAGCGGUGGAAAUGCGCAGAUAUCAGGAAGAACACCGGUGGCGAAGGCGGCUCUCUGGGCCUUACCUGACGCUGAGGAGCGAAAGCGUGGGUAGCGAACAGG
rnacentral:rRNA from 1 species